ACCCUCUCUAGCGCCAUGCGCCAUCGGGUAUGCGGACGCUGGAGUUCAUAAGACGGGAAGAAUACGCAGCGGUUCUGGCAGCUGGCUAGUGUCGAUUUGCAUUACUCACUAUUAUUGCAGUUUGAAGUGUAGUUUUCUGUUAUGGAUACACAGGGUCCAAGGUUUUUAUAAUUAUUGUGAUCAAGUAAUCAGUAGUUCGUGAAUACAGUUAAAACAUACUCUUGGCUUUGGUGAGCUUGCUAAUGUUAGCUUGUCUAACUGGAAAAAAAUCGAUAGCGGAAACAACUGGAUCAUAAAUUCCAGCAUUGCAAGAUUUUACUUAUUUGUGGAAGUUGCAGGGGAUGGACAAUCUGGAGGAAAAAGCUACUGAAAGGAUUCUACUAGAACCAUACAAUUACCUGCUGCAGCUACCGGGGAAACAAAUCCGAACUAAACUGUCCCAAGCUUUCAACCACUGGCUCAAUGUACCUGAGGAUAAACUUCAGGUAAUCAUUGAGGUAACGGAAAUGCUGCACAAUGCUAGUCUCUUGAUCGAUGACAUCGAGGACAGCUCUAAGUUGCGGCGUGGUUUCCCUGUAGCUCACAGCAUCUACGGUGUGCCAUCCGUUAUAAACUCUGCAAACUACGUCUACUUUCUGGGCCUAGAGAAAGUGCUGACGCUAGAACACCCUGAGGCUGUGCAUGUGUUCACUCGCCAGCUGUUGGAGCUGCACCGUGGCCAGGGCUUGGACAUCCACUGGCGUGACACGUACACUUGCCCAAGCGAAGCAGAGUACCGUGGGAUGGUACUGCGCAAGACUGGUGGAUUAUUCGGCCUGGCGGUGGGCCUCAUGCAGCUCUUCUCAGAAUGGAGCUGUGACCUCAAACCCCUACUAGAUACACUUGGGCUCUUGUUCCAGAUACGCGAUGACUAUGCCAACCUCUGCUCACGUGAGUAUGGUGCGAACAAGAGCUUCUGUGAAGACCUGACCGAGGGCAAAUUCUCCUUUCCCACCAUCCACGCCAUCCAUACACAGAUCCAUAGCACACAGGUGCAGAACAUCCUACGCCAGCGCACUGAGGAUGAAGACGUCAAGCGUUACUGUGUUGAUUAUUUGGAGAAGGUGGGCUCCUUUGCUUACACCAGGCAGAAGUUGCAUGAGCUAGAAAAGGAGGCAUACAGGUUGAUUGCAGAAUUAGGGGGGAACCCAGAGCUGGAGGGACUUAUAGAGCAUCUUAGCCACAUUUACAAGGAAUGAGAGGAAGCAGCUUCCAAAGAAGAGAGCUGGGUCACUCCUGAAUUUCUCGUCCCUCUCCGAACUCCUCUCUCUUCAUUUUUCUCUUUUACCCCAUGUUCAUUUUGGCAAAAGUGAGAUUAAAUGGCUUUCAAUAUUGCACUUCUUUCCCCCAACUAAUUCACCUAUUUUUAUAAAUCAGUAAAUCACCUCAGUUUUGACAUGCAUUAGAAGAAUUUACCUAUAAUCAUUUUCUAGUCUUACUGUCAAAAUUUUUAUUGUCAUUUCUGUUGUGACUGUGUCAUACAAGGGCAACAAAGACCUAAGCAAACAACAUAACAGAUGAAGCCCAAAUGUCUUCAGUGUAUAGCAAAAACAAAAGAAUUGACUUUGCCAUUCCAAUACUUUCAGAGGGGACUGUAAAUGUGCUGAUGGAGGAAAGUUUACAAAACAUUUUCCUUUCAAUAGAAUUCUACACAUGAUUAGUUUAAGGUGAAUUUUACCUUUUGUUUUUAUUCAAUACACUGGCAAUCCACAGUGCUGGGAACAAUGUAGUAACUUUACAAUAAAUUAAAGAAGCAAAUAGUAAUCACUCUGAGAUGGAGAGUUAGUCAGUUAACAAAUCAGAAAAUCAGAAAGAUAAGUUGCUUGCCCAGUUAUCUGUUUCUGUUUAUAUAUUCCAUGGCAGCUAUUGGAGUUGUUCUGUGUUCAAAAUCCAGUGUGUGCACAGUAAAUACGCAUUUAUAUAGUUUGCAAGAUUUCACAGGUACUUCCGUGACAUGCAGUUCCAUGAAAUCUGCUUUUGGCCCAAUUUCUUGUUGGAAAUAUAGCUAUGGUGAAAGUCCUAGAAGGUUUCAUAUGUACAAGUCAAAAUUUAAUUCUAAACAGCUUUUGGCACAAACACAAAUUAAAUGUUAUCACUGAGAAUUUGCUUUCCAAAAGCAUCAUUACUUGGUCAAAUGUCACUUUAGAAUGAAGCUGUAUAUUUUACUGGUGGUGAUACUGCAAAGAUUUAGAAAAAUCCCUAUUGUCCCUGUAAUUGUUAGGAUUCUUUGUAUUUUCUAUCAUUAUUAUUAUUAUUAUUAUUAUUAUUAUUAUACAAACAUAGUAUUUGGAACUCUAUUGUUUUAGUUAGGCUUUUUCUUAUUUAUUUAUCUAUCUAUUUUAUUUAAUUUAAUUUAAUUUCCUCCAAUAAAGUUGUGCAGACCAAACCAUAGGUCUGACAGACAUGAAACUUGGUCAGUACGCAGUACUCCCACUACUCAGGCAAGAGAAAUGAGCCUGGUCGGUGUACUAGUGGCACUGUAGGGAAGCAUUGAUAUUUUGGGUUAUAUCUUGAAUACCAUAACUCCUAAUACCAUAUGCAAAGUUUGGGGCAUGGUCAUGCAUAAGGGGUGGAGCUAUGGUCCGAUAAUUGGUUCUCAAGAACCAUACAUGCAAUCGUGUGGAAACUUGGUAUACUGCAUCUCUAGGUUAAUGUUUAAGUGGAUCUCUGAUGAUGACCAUGAUUGGCCAGUCAGGUUUCAGCAGGCAUUUGACAGGGUAAACAGUGAGCUAUUAAUCCAUUACAUAAAUAUGGAUUUAGAUUUAAAUAUCCCUAAUGAGCAAGCCAGAGUGUGAUUAAAAAUCAUUACUCUUCCACAGCUGUAUACUAUAGAGUCAAACAGUGCUAAGUGUGUUAAAAGGAUGUUCAGUAUGAGCACUUAACUAUGGGGGGCAAGGAAAAGAAACACUCAAACAUAUUAGUAUAAUAAAAAUACAUCACAGACUCUAGCAAGCAGCAGAAACAGGAUUUGGGCUACAUCAUAAUGCAGCACCCAUGAAAAGACUGGGCAAUUGCUUAAUCACCAUCAUGUAAAAUAAAUUUACAAUUAGUAGUCUUUAUUAUAUUCUUAUGUUAGAUAUAAAAGGGUGUUGGCAGCAUUAGUAAAAAGUCUAAUUUGUGAUAGGUGCAGGCAUCGAGAUCUACCAGGCUCUGCCAAAGAAUUUUGAGUGGUCAGUUGUGGGUGCGGUCCAUCAUAUCUUAGGGACAGAGAGGACAGAUUAUAUCGGAUAAUACAUAAUUUUCUAUUUGGACAAAGUUGUUUGCAUCAAGAUUAUAAAUCAAUUUUUUUUAUCUUUAAGUUUUUGGGUGCUCAGAAAAAUGUGAAUCCUUAGAUUCUUAGAUUUAAAGAACCUGGUUAAAUACUAUAUCCAUGGUCUCUUUCAAAACACAACAGGAACCAGCUAGUCUGCACUGUCGUAUGUGGAACCUUGAAUACUGAGAUCUAUAGCAGGUUUGGUCUUGUUGUCAGCCACAACAGUGAUUUGAGAAGAGAUGAGAGUAAAUUCCCAUUUGGCAUGGCACUGUUUAGAGAUGCACUUGAGGUCAGUGUUAUUGAAGAGGUGGAGGAAUCAGUGAAGAGUGUGGGGAAAUAUUAGGUCCACAGCUUUGCCCAUUCUGCACGGUCCGGUGCCAAUAAGGAAGGCAAUGGCUCCUUAAUAGGAACAAGUAUGAAAGCUGAAAAAUAUCUAAUAAUAUCCUGAGCAUUGUUCCCUUGAAUUUGGGAUAAAACAGGAUGGUCGCCAUGCACAUCCAUGUGUGAAAAGGUUUAAAUGUGUCUGGGUGUUUCAGAGGAGGAGAGGAGAUCAUAAGUCCAGAAGCUCAAGCAAAAAGGUGUUUAUUAUGCCAUAGAAAAGAGAGUAUACUCUCAGUAAAUCUGAUACAAGAGCAAUUCAAGUAACAGACUGACCUAAAAAUCACAGAUCAGUUCAUAUACUGCAGAAUUCUAGCACACGAGUGGUUAUGGAGAAAAGGAGGACAUCAAUCUAACAAACAAGGAGUAAAGACAGGGUUACAUGAAACUUAAAACUGACUGAACCUGGUUUCUACUGUGGUGGCAAGAAACUAAAACCUUGAAGGUGUGAUAAAAGGAAAACACUGCAUCCCAUACAGGGUCACUGCAACAUCAAAAAUGUAAUAGAAAAGACUAAAACAUGAAUUAAUUAUGUGUGCAGAUGAUCAGCAAGUACAAACUGAAAUCAAAAUAUAAAAACAUAAUACAGGUACUGAAUAAUACUUCAGAAAAACUUAAUAAAACUUCACCGAUAUUCAAUUGCCAGAUUUUUGAGAGUUUUUGAGAAUGAGGAGAUAAUGGCAUAGGAAUUAAGCAAAAAGCGCAAUUUGCCUGUAUUCAAUAGCCUCAAAAAAUGCCAAGCAAUCAGGGCAAUUAGAAAUUCCUACAGUAAAAUUUCUUCAUAUUGAGUAUUUUGGUAGUACAUUACACCUAUUUUAAUAUGUAACUGUCAAAUUUUUGAGGCGUUUUAAAAAUGAGGAGAUAUGAAAUGGCAUUCUAAAUUAGCAGAUUUUUCCUUUUUUAUGCACAGCGUUCACUGAAUUUUAUAAGUAAUUUUAGUGAGCUUCGUGGCGCCAUCUACAGGCGCGAGAUUGUAAGUUCCGGAUCUUUUAAUGUGGAACGGAAAAUCCCAAACAGAAGCUGGCGAAUAAGAAGCCAACGUGCCCUCAAAGAAUACGACGGCAAUGCACUGUAUUUAAAUUUAAGCAACUGAGACCUAACUGAAUCUUAAAAUCGAUUACAUGUUAAACAACUUUGCUUGACAGAGAAGAUAAUAAAACUGUACCUGAGACGUAGAUUUAUCCUUUAAAAUAGAGAAAGUAAAAAAUUUUAACCAUUUAUUAAACGAUACAUUAGUUUAAAAUGCCAAUUCUAAUUGCAAUUAAACUUUUUUAAACAUAAAACAUUUCACAUGAAACACUUUCUUAAAAAAAAAAAAAAAAAACCUGUGCAAAACUAAAACAAAAUCUUGUGUCCUAGAUUCAAGUCGAGUUUGUGAGUCUUUGACAUUAAGAGGGUUUAUAUCAACAUUCUAAAUAAUGGAUAAGAUUAAAAUUGAGGCCCAUCACAAUAGUUAUGCAUUGUGGGGUCAUUUCUUUUCAAGUACAAGUAUUGCAUUUGGUCAUACACUCACCCUCCACUUUAAUAGGAACACCUGUACACCUGCUCAUUUAUGCAGUUAUCUCCUGGGAGUCUCUAGAGUUUACAGAGAAUGGUGUGGGGGAAAAAAAAAAAAAACAUUGGCGACAGUUCUAUGGGUGGAAAUAUCUUGUAAAUGUUCGAGAGGCCGGAUUAGGUCGAGCUGCCAGGAAGGAUAUAGUAACUCAUACACUGACAAUACACUGUAACCCUCUAUAAAUACCUCCAAGAGAUGUAUUUUACAUAUAGUAUUAUACACUUUGUGCAAAAACUCAGUUGAAUAAAUCGUUUUUAAUUUUAUAAGAUUACUUCAUUUCUUAGAAGCUGACACAUAAAUGUGUAGACUAAUUUCACAUGGACAUCCACUUCUCGGACAUGCACUUCCACUCUUUUUUGAAUUUGUUAAUAAGUUUGGCAACAGUGUUGUGUGUGAUGUGCAUGCCAUGUUUCCUUGUAGAGUCCAUCUCAACCUUGCGACAGCUUCCCGAUCCAGCCAUGAGAAUGAUUUCAAUAUGUUCUUUUGUCAAAGGCAUUCUUAAAAGCUAUCUGAAAUUAUACAUACAUACAUACAUACAUACAUACACACACACACACACAUAUACAGUACCAGUCAAAAGUUUGGACACACCUUCUUAUUCAGUGGUUUUUCUUCAUUUUUAUUGUCUUCAGCAUUGUAUAUUAAUACUGAAGACAUCCAAACUAUGAAAGAACAUGUAUGUAAUUAUGUAGUAAACAAAAACGUCUUAAAUAACCCAGAAUGUGUUUUAUAUUUUCGGUUCUUCAAAGUAGCCACCUUUUGCUUUGAUGACAGCUUUGCACACUCUUGGCAUUCUCUCAGUCAGCCUCAUGAGGUAGUCACCUGAAAUGGUUUUCUAACAAUCUUGAAGGAGUUCCCAGAGGUGUUGAGUACUUGUUGGCUGCUUUUCCUUCACUCUCCAGUCCAACUCCUCCCAAACCAUCUCAAUUAGAUUUAGAUCAGGUGAUUGUGGAGGCCAGGUCAUCUGAUGCAGCAUCCAUCACUCUCCUUCUUGGACAAAUAGCUCUUACAUAACCUAGAGGUGUGUUUGGGGUCAUUGUCCUGUUGGAAAACAAAUGAUGGCCCCACUAAGUGCAAACCAGAUGGGAUGGCAUGUCUCUGCAAAAUGCUGUGGUAGCCAUGCUGGUUAAGUGUGCCCUCAGUUUUGACUAAGUCACCAACGGUGUCACCAGCAAAGCACACCCACAUCAUCACACCUCCUCCUCCAUGCUUCACAGUGGGAGAAACACAUUCAGGAACAGUCUGUUCACCCUCUCUAUGUCUAACAAAGACACAGCAGUUUUCCACUGAUCUAAUGUCCAUUCCUUGUGUUUCUUGUUGUUCUUCCAAAGUAAUGGUUUCUUUGCUGCAAUUCGACCAUGAAGGCCUGCCUCACGCAGUCUCCUCUGAACAGUGGAUGUUGAAAUAUGUCUGCCACUUGAACUCCGAGAAGCAUUUAUGUGAGCUGUAAUCAGCGGUUUCUGAGGCUGGUAAUUCUAAUAAACUUAUCCUCUGCAGCAGGUAGCUCUUGGUCUUCCUCCCUGGGACGGUCCUCAUGAGAGCCAGUUUCAUCAUAGCGUUUGAUGGUUUUGGCGACUGCACUUGGGGAUACACUUGAGAUUUUUCGGAUUGACUGACCUUCAUUUCUUAAAAUAAUGAUGGACUGUCUUUUCUCUUUACUUAACUGAGUGUUUCUUGCCAUAAUAUAGAUUUGUACAGUAGUUGUAGUAUCGCUAAUAGGGCUAUUGACUCUGUACCCACCCUUCCUCUGCAUAAGACAACUGAUGGUCUAAAGCACAUUAAGAAGGCAAGAAAUGUCACAAAUUACCUCUUGACAAGGCACACCUGUGAAUUGAAAACCAUUCCAGGUGACUACCUCGUGAAUCUAAAAAUCUUAAUCUAAAAUCUUAAACAUACACACACACACAUUAUAUAUAUAUAUAUAUAUAUAUAUAUAUAUAUAUAUAUAUAGGAAACCAUUUGCUAAAAAGUGUUAAUUCCCUCUAUGUAGUGAGACUUUUGGGAUAUCCUGUAGUUCUAAGAGAGUACACAGCAUUACGACUUAAUGUUUUAAGUAUGAAUUAUUAUUUUGUACCAGCAUGUAUGAAAACAGACUUUCUGUGUAUAACAAAUAUUUUUGUAUGAAUGUAGAUAAGUACGCGCGAGUUUUAUUGACAGUAAUGUUACUCCGUAUUCGUCGCAGCAAACUAAUGGAAAUAUUCAACUUUUGCUCAUCUGACUGUGUAAAAUAAGAUCGCGUACUUUCUAACUUCUGACACCAUGUAGCUAAAGUCGAUUAGGCGCAUUUGUAAACUUGUCACUUUUUCAACAGCGGCGUAAUGGUGCUGGCAUCCGCUUUCACACUUAUACACAGCACGUAACAUGCUCACGCAGGUGUGUCCUUCCGCAUGAACGAUAUUGGGAAUAAUAGGGCAUAACUACACAUUUUUCUCCAGCUAAAAUUAUUCUAGCACCUUAUCUCUUUAAUUUCUUUCCUAAAAAAUCAGAUUAGAUUCUAUUGUUAAUUGUUUAAUUAGCCGUAAUUACAAGAGCCUUUUGCUCCAAAUUCAGCCAAGCUUUAGCAUAUACCCAUCGCAGAAACCCGUGUGCGAGUUUAUAGGAGGUUUUUCGGUAAUCGCCGUAGCUUCCCUGAUAUAAUUACAAAUUACGACCGCCGAUCCGGAAAAAACAAAGAAAACUCAACUCGGCACUUCUACGGCUCGUGUUCAACUCCAGGCUCAGCAAGUGACGUAAAAUAAACACGGCCUGCGCACAGCGUCAGCAGCACAUAAAGUAGCACGUCUUAUUUUUUUAAUUAAUUAUGCCGUGUGUACAAGUAUUUACUUUAGAUCAAUCACCAUGUUCGCUUGUAAAAAUCUAUAUAAUUGACAAUACAGAACGCUGUUUUGAGGCGGAAAAUAUUCAUCACUCAUUAGCUGGUUAGUUUGCUGCUAACAAAAGACAAACAUGGAGGCGUUUUCCCCACCCACCUUGUAGCUCAAAAAUGAAGUCAUUCUGAGCUCCGACUUCCCACUUCCAAGGUAAUGAAUUCCGAGUUACGAGUUUUACCAGAACGCAGCAUUAGUACUACAUCUCCCAGAAGCCCCCUGUGGGUCCUCGGCUUCAUUUCUAUUGGUCGAUGACGGUGCUCAGUGGGCGUGAGAUAUGAUCAAUCCGCAAUGUCCGACGUGCUGAACGACCUGCACUUUAAAUUUAUUGUGUGUCUCUGUCUGGCUCGUCCAUGAGAAGUUUAGCACUGUUCCUACUCCCGUGUGUGAUCGCGGUGCUGGUGCAUGAGUGGUGGUGGCUGAAGGACCAAACUGAUUUCUUCUCGGAUGUCAGGGCUGCAGAAAUAUAGCAAGAAAACAAAAAUGCAAAAGCCUGUUCUAGGACUGAGAAGUACCUGCUACUUGGAGAGCAGAAAAAAGAGAGAGACAAAGACAUCCCUUCACACCCAACGGACCUAAGAUGGCUCCAGCCUGUCUAGGCUAAACGACAGGUCGUUAAACAUUAAGGGAUGAUAACGGUCAUCGGAACGCAGAAAACCCCCAAAAAAAAGGGUGUAAAUUACCCCUCCGUGGAACUGACCUCGAAUUGACCACCCUUAACAGAUGCCUUUUGUUUGGAUUAGGGAACUGGUUGAGAUUUAUCACACUACACCCUACUCAGCUUCAAGUGACCUUUGUUCCCAACUGAACCAGUAAAAGGACUCCAGGCCUAAGACUCCUCCACUUUUAAGAAUGCCCUUUUCUUUCUCUGUAUCUGCCUUAUUUUAUUUCAAUAUAAUCGUUGAGUUUGUGUUAAAUCUGUAUGGGGAACAUGCAUUCCCACAACCUGUAUUAAACCAGAGGGCAAGAGUUAACUUACACUUCAGCCACGGUGACUUCUCACAUGGUGGGAAGUCCAGUGUUACCUCCAAAUCACGUACUCUAACCAGCAUUAUAUUACAACCCCACUAUUAAUGGAAUUGUAUAAUAUUAAGUCUGUUUCUUUCUGUAAACAUGCCAUUAUACCCAGUAGCUAAUGGCCAUGGCUAAUGUAUGUCAUGUGUGGUAUCUGCAUGCUUGUCUUCAUGUGCUGAAGCUGUUGAUGAUUUUCAAUUCUCAGUACCUCAUAUCAUACAUUUAUUAUAAACAUUAAAGGUAAAUAAGACCACAUUACAUGGACAUUAAGAAGGGGGCAACUCGGGAGGGGUCGCUUGCAAAUUAGCUGGAGGGCCAGCCAAGCCACUCUCCAAUCAUCUCCAAACCGGCCUGCAGUUGGUUGAAGACCUCAAGAGGCCGGCUCAUCUAAACUAACAUAAAACCACAUGCCCAAGACACAGAAAUACAGGAACGCAACAACAAAGAACAGCCGGAGCGGGAGCUGGAGCUGAGACUGGAACGGAGCUGGGACCAGAACAGAGCUGGAACAGGAAGAGAACCUCCCCCAGAAGAUUCCAAGACUUGCAUCACUGAACCUCGCUUGACUCGACCCUUCGCCCAGCCGUCCAGACUCCAGCCUCCCUCUCCGGCGACGAUCAACAACUUCUCUAACACCCUCCAACUCCGGUCCGACUAGAACCUGCUGGCCCACACCAACUCCUUCCAUUCACCACCUAGGCAAAGCAAGUAUUGAUACCUCCCAACUUCAUUAAGCUGGUGCAGUAAACCUAAAACUCUUUUCACCGAUUAAUGCUGAUUUAUGUUGAUGGUUCACUCAGGUCAGGAUCUCGUGAUUUGUCAGGUUUAUGUCUAAGAACUCAACUCUCUGAUUAUUCUCACUGGUUCUUCUCAUUCCAUAUCCCUACAUGUAUGAAUGUGUAAGUCUGUGUGUGUGUUGGUUGUGUGUAGUAGUUUAGGAUAUAUGUGUAGUAGUGUAGUAUAUAUGUGUAGUAGUUUAGUAUAUGUGUAUAGUAGCUUAGUAUAAUAAAGUCUCGUCUGAUGUUUAAA